rnacentral:rRNA from 1 species
GACGAACGCUGGCGGCGUGCCUAAUACAUGCAAGUCGACCUUAGGGGCGAACGAGUGAGUAACACGUGGGUAACCUGCCCAGCAGACGGCGAGAACACUUGGCAACAGGCGCUUAUACCGGAUACUGAUGUAGGGACCAGCUGUGCAUUAGCUAGUUGGUGAGGUAGCGGCGCACCAAGGCGACGAUGCAUAGCCGACCUGAGAGGGUGAGUGGCCACAUUGGGACUGAGACACGGUCCAAACGCCUACGGGAGGCAGCAGUAGGGAAUCUUCGGCAAUGGGCGAAAGCCUGACCGAGCAACGCCGCGUGAGUGAAGAAGGUUUUCGGAUCGUAAAACUCUGUUGGUAGAGAGGCGGUAUCUAAACAGAAAGCCACGGCUAACUACGUGCCAGCAGCCGCGGUAAUAC